GCUUUCCAGGGAGGGUGGAGUCCUUGGUUCUUGUGGAUGUUUGUUCAGUGUCUUGCACAACUUCCCUAACUGGCUUAUUUUCCUGCAGAUAAGAGGUGGUAGUUGUGGGUGUUCCUGUAUUUAUUGGUUCAAAAGAUUGGUGCAAAGGACAGUCAGGCAGAGCAGGCACUGACUCACAAAGGCUGCUGUUUGCUUGUGACCUGUGUGUUCCUUUUGAGGGGAAAGAGCAUAGUCCACCAAGUCCAGCAAUGCCCAGCGCUGCUGGAUUCUUUCCACAUGACCACGCCACUCCUUGAACAUCUUUCCUCCGUAGCAGAGUUGAUGGCACAGGACACCGCAGGAACCCGAUAGGGAAGGAGGGCUGAGGUGGUGUGAACUGCGUGGGCUGUGGUCAUAUAGCUGAGGAUGUAAAUGGAAUCACAAAUGUAGCAAAUAUCCACAUGACAUCCAGUCAUCAUCGGAGUGUGCUUGUUGAGGUUGGACAAUGGCAUACUGUCCAGAGCUAUCUCCAAGAAUCUACUCUACACGUACCCUGGGGGCUUAGGAGGCAAAGCAAAAGGAGGAAUUUGAUGUCCCUGCCAAGUGGAUAAUGGAGAUGAUUUUUCGGGAGGAAGUGAUUUGUUCAUCCCAGGACUAGGAGGGUAGAGGGGGCCGAAGAGGCAGCCUUCACAGGAUACACUGGGAUGAAAUCCUGGAUGCAUUAUAGAUUUUUAGGAAGUACCACCUGAGAGGUCAUUUUCAUGGAAACCCUUGAGAAAAUACAUCAAGGAUGGGACCACCAAAUGAGCAGCUGAAAGUGAGGAUGCUGAAUCUGCCCAACAACUUCCCCACUUCUGUGGUACCCUCAGUUUUUUGUCAUUGUCUAUCUCAUCAAUAAAAUAAUAUUUUAAAUUAAUGGUGCAUGUUAUAAUUAAUUGUAUGAUGUAAUAAAAAAUUUUAGAGAGGUCAGUUCUAGAAAAAGAAAUGUAAAAAACAUCUUGGAUAUUACUCUAUCUUUGUUUUCUCUUCACAUGUUAAAAAAAAAAAAGAAAUCACAGAUAGCAGAUUUGAAGGUAUUGCUGUAAAAGUAUAAUUCGAGUUUCUCUCAAAUUAAAUAAAAAAUGUGUUGACCUGAGGAGAACAGAAAUCAAUAGCUCAGAAGAAGAGCAUGAUACGCACACUUUCGCUCUCCAAUAUCAUUCCUUUAACUUGUUUUUCUC
ensembl:lncRNA